AUGGGGGACGCAGGAGGAUAAGCGCGUNUUGGAUAUCCGCGUCCAAGCAGUUAGGCUGANACAAAUCCGUUUCCCAUAAGGCUGAGCUGUGAUGGCGAGCGAAAUAUAGUAGCGGAAGUUCCUGAUUCCACACUGCCAAGAAAAAGCCUCUAGCGAGGUGAGAGGUGCCCGUACCGCAAACCGACACAGUAGGCGAGAGAGAAUCCUAAGGUGAUCAAGAGAACUCGUUAAGGAACUCGGCAAAUGACCCCGUAACUUCGGGAGAAGGGGUGCCUGUUAGGUGCAAGCCCGAGAGAGCCGCAGUGAAUAGCCCAGGCGACUGUUUAGCAAAACACAGGUCUCUGCGAGGCCGNAAGGCGAAGUAUAGGGGCUGACGCCUGCCCGGUGCUGGAAGGUUAAGAGGAGCGCUUAGCGUAAGCGAAGGUGCGAAUUGAAGCCCCAGUAAACGGCGGCCGUAACGAUAACGGUCCUAAGGUAGCGAAAUUCCUUGUCGGGUAAGUUCCGACCCGCACGAAAGGCGCAACGAUCUGGGCACUGUCUCAACGAGACUCGGUGAAAUUAUAGUACCUGUGAAGAUGCAGGUUACCCGCGACAGGACGGAAAGACCCCGUGGAGCUUUACUACAGCCUGAUAUUGAAUGUUGGUACAGCUUGUACAGGUAGGAGCCUUGAAACCGAGCGCCAGCUUCGGUGGAGGCAUCGGUGGGAUACUACCCUGGCUGUAUUGACCUUCUAACCCGCCGCCCUUAUCGGGCGGGAGACAGUGUCAGGUGGGCAGUUUGACUGGGGCGGUCGCCUCCUAAAGGUAACGGAGGCGCCCAAAGGUUCCUCAGAAUGGUUGGAAAUCAUUCGCAGAGUGUAAAGGCACAAGGGAGCUUGACUGCGAGACCUACAAGUCGAGCAGGGACGAAAGUCGGGCUUAGUGAUCCGGUGGUUCGCAUGGAAGGGCCAUCGCUCAACGGAUAAAGCUACCCCGGGAUAACAGGCUUAUCUCCCCAAGAGUCCACAUCGACGGGAGGUCGGCACCUCGAUGUCGGCUCAUCGCAUCCUGGGGCUGUAGUCGGUCCCAAGGGUUGGGCUGUUCGCCCAUUAAAGCGGUACGCGAGCUGGGUUCAGAACGUCGUGAGACAGUUCGGUCCCUAUCCGUCGCGGGCGCAGGAAAUUUGAGAGGAGCUGUCCUUAGUACGAGGACCGGGAUGGACGCACCCUGGUGUACCAGUUGUUCUGCCAAGGGCAUCGCUGGGUAGCUAUGNGCGGACGGGAUAAGUGCUGAAAGCAUCUAAGCAUGAAGCCCCUCAAGAUGAGAUUUCCAUUCCGCAAGGAGAUCCCUGAAAGAUGAUCAGUUGAUAGGUCUGAGGUGGNNGNGUGGCGACACAUGGAGCUGACAGAUACUAAUCGAUCGAGG
rnacentral:rRNA from 1 species